rnacentral:rRNA from 1 species
UUUCGAAUCAUUCACAAUGGGCGAAAGCCUGAUGGUGCGACGCCGCGUGAGGGAUGAAGGUCUUCGGAUUGUAAACCUCUGUCACUGGGGAAGAAACGCUAAGUUCUAAUACAACUUAGCCUGACUUAACCCGGAGAGGAAGCAGUGGCUAACUCUGUGCCAGCAGCCGCGGUAAUACAGAGACUGCAAGCGUUAUUCGGAUUCACUGGGCGUAAAGGGUGCGCAGGCGGCCAAGUGUGUCAGGUGUGAAAUCCCGGGGCUUAACUCCGGAACUGCGCCUGAAACUACUUGGCUAGAGCAUUGGAGAGGGAAGUGGAAUUCACGGUGUAGCAGUGAAAUGCGUAGAUAUCGUGAGGAACACCAGAGGCGAAGGCGACUUCCUGGACAAUUGCUGACGCUCAGGCACGAAAGCGUGGGGAGCCAAAGGG